CAGCAGCCGCGGGAAUACGGAGGGUGCGAGCGUUAAUCGGAAUUACUGGGCGUAAAGCGCGCGUAGGCGGCUUGGUAAGUCGAUUGUGAAAGCCCCGGGCUCAACCUGGGAAUUGCAGUCGAGACUGUCAGGCUAGAGUGUGGGAGAGGGUGGUGGAAUUCCCGGUGUAGCGGUGAAAUGCGUAGAUAUCGGGAGGAACAUCAGUGGCGAAGGCGACCGCCUGGCCCAACACUGACGCUGAGGUGCGAAAGCGUGGGUAGCAAACAGGAUUAGAUACCCCCGUAGUCCCUGUCUCUUAUAC
rnacentral:rRNA from 1 species